rnacentral:rRNA from 1 species
UACAGAGGUCCCAAGCGUUGUUCGGAUUCACUGGGCGUAAAGGGCGCGUAGGCGGCACGGCAAGUCGGGAGUGAAAGGCCUGGGCUCAACCGAGGAACUGCUUUCGAGACUGCCGAGCUAGAGUGCGGAAGGGGCAACUGGAAUUCCCAGUGUAGCGGUGAAAUGCGUAGAUAUUGGGAAGAACACCUGAGGCGAAGGCGGGUUGCUGGGCCGACACUGACGCUGAGGCGCGAAAGCCAGGGGAGCAAAGCGGG